UCCCUUCAUCCUCCCAAGCUUGUAUUCUUUCUACCUUUUGUCUGUUUUUCUUUUUAACUCCUAGGUGGAGUCGAUGCGUCACUCCAUGGGGCCUGCUGGCUAUGGGGACAGUAUGGCUGCCAACCAGAUGUACAGCCCACGAGAAAUGAGGGCCAAUGGGGGCUGGCAGGAAGCCGCCACCCCAUCUUCUGUCACCUCCCCAACAGAAGGUCCCGGCAGUGUCCACUCUGACACCUCCAACUGAUCCUGCUGUGCUGGCCGUUCCCCUCCUCCCCCCCUUUUCACCUUCGUCCCGAUGCCAGGGAAGAGAGAAAAACGCCCGUUGUGAAUGGGCCGGGCAGAGACAGGACUCCUUUCAUUGCCUUAGGGUCACCGCAUCACCGUGCCGGGGAAGGGUGGGGGGAGGGGAAUCCGAUGACCCGAUGAUCCUUGGGGGGGGGGGCAGAUCGUUUUGAGGUGCGCCCAUCGUCGGAUAGAAGACGGAUGUCCUUCUGUGAUCCGGAGUGAUGCCUUUGAUAACCAAGGCCUGACUCUUUUAAGCAUCCUGGAGGGGGGAACCCAGCAUUAUUGGGCGGUGGGUGGGAACGGGUGGUGGGAGAGGUGGGUGUCCCAAACGGCUUAUCAAUUUGCAGGGGUUAAGGGAUAGGCUACUGUGGUACCUGCAACCAAUGUCAUCGUCUGAUGGAUCUGGUUCAUAAGGUUAUACACCACCCCCCCCUCAAAAA